rnacentral:rRNA from 1 species
GAUGAACGCUGGCGGCGUGCCUAAUACAUGCAAGUCGAGCGAACAGACGAGGAGCUUGCUCCUCUGACGUUAGCGGCGGACGGGUGAGUAACACGUGGAUAACCUACCUAUAAGACUGGGAUAACUUCGGGAAACCGGAGCUAAUACCGGAUAAUAUAUUGAACCGCAUGGUUCAAUAGUGAAAGACGGUUUUGCGGUAACUUAUAGAUGGAUCCGCGCCGCAUUAGCUAGUUGGUAAGGUAACGGCUUACCAAGGCAACGAUGCGUAGCCGACCUGAGAGGGUGAUCGGCCACACUGGAACUGAGACACGGUCCAGACUCCUACGGGAGGCAGCAGUAGGGAAUCUUCCGCAAUGGGCGAAAGCUUGACGGAGCAACGCCGCGUGAGUGAUGAAGGUCUUCGGAUCGUAAAACUCUGUUAUUAGGGAAGAACAAAUGUGUAAGUAACUAUGCACGUCUUGACGGUACCUAAUCAGAAAGCCACGGCUAACUACGUG